GACGAACGCUGGCGGCGUGCUUAACACAUGCAAGUCGUGCGGAAAGGCCCACUUGUGGGUGCUCGAGCGGCGAACGGGUGAGUAACGCGUGAGUAAUCUGCCCUUCACUUUGGGAUAACUCCAAGAAAUUGGUGCUAAUACCGGAUGUGACAUCAUCGCGCAUGUGGUGGUGUGGAAAGGCGUCCCCUUUUUGGGGGUGUUGGUGGGGGAUGAGCUCGCGGCCUAUCAGCUUGUUGGUGGGGUGAUGGCCUACCAAGGCGUUGACGGGUAGCCGGCCUGAGAGGGUGAUCGGCCACACUGGGACUGAGACACGGCCCAGACUCCUAUGGGAGGCAGCAGUGGGGAAUAUUGGACAAUGGGCGGAAGCCUGAUCCAGCAACGCCGCGUGAGGGAUGACGGCCUUCGGGUUGUAAACCUCUUUCAGCUCCGGCGAAGCCGUGCCUUGUUGGGUGUGGUGACGGUAGGGGCAGAAGAAGCACCGGCCAACUACGUGCCAGCAGCCGCCGCAG
rnacentral:rRNA from 1 species